rnacentral:lncRNA from 1 species
GAAUUGUUGGGCGGGAGAGGGGUUCAGGAGGGUGGGGAGACAGAAGGUAGAAGAGAAGGGGGGUUAUUUCAGGCCUUGCUUCUCUAAGCCUUCGACGUCUGAGCCCCAGGACAGACCUUCCUGUUGUGAAAUACUGGACCAGUUGUUGCGGUCUGAAGAUAAACAACAUUCCAGUAGUUCCCCCAGAGGCUACCCGAGGCCUUGUGCUUUUUAACAUUUCCCUGGCCCUACGAUGAUCCAGGAGCUGAAGCUUACUGCAGUGCUGCAGUACACACAGCAAUUUUGUGGUCUCUGUGUUCUUACAUUGGGCUAUGGUAAUGAGCCCAGGGUGAGAUCUAAAUGCCUCUGCCUGGUUGUUAAACCCCUGCAACACUAGCAUCUUUUGUGUAGCUUUGGACACCCAAGCUGUGCUUAUGAGAGGUUUGUAAGAAUGGUUUUUUGCCCUGGUAUGCGAGGUUUCUGUCUUCAUUAAAGUUGGAGGCUGAACUAGGACUCCCAGGUUAUGUGAGGGCAAGUUUGGAAACCAGAUGCAAACCGUUAACAAAAUCCACCUGGGUUCAUCAUGAAAGGGUUGGGCCCCAGGUUGCUGUACCCAACAGAACAGGCAUUUCAACGAGUUUCUCAUUAGUUCUUGGUUCCUAUAUAGGUAGGCGUGGCUUUAAAGGGCAUAAAACCACAACAAAUCAAAGAAUAGCUCAGACUUGCCCUUGACUUUAUGACUGAGAAUUUGAGUAAUGAUUCAUGGACUGUGAAUGUCGGCCCUGGUCCCUGGCUCAUCUCUACCUGCAAACACCAUUGCAGCCAACAAAUUUGAGAAACACAUUCUCUCAGUUCUGGUCACUUUCUGCAGCUUAUCAAUGGCACUUACACCCAUUGUUAUAACUUCACCACAGUUGCCUAUAGGGCAUAUACAAGGAGUAUUACUAACCUAAUUUUAAUAACAAGAAACUGAGGCUCAGAGAAACGAAAACAUUUCCAAAAUCUUACACCUGCCACUAUUGUAUAAGUCAAAUAAUUUUAAUUUCUGUUGCCAUUCGGCAUUAUUUUACCUUUUGUGUGGGUAUGAAUAUGUAUAAUCGCUAAUUCAGUCAGUUUAAGAUGGCUAUAGCAGGCAAACAUCUAAAGUGUCCCACAGUGAUUUCUACCUCCUUUAUACAAAAAGAAAAAAAACAUUUUUUUGCUGUAGUAAUGACUUUACUAUUAUGUUUUGGGUAUGACACUGUGGGGUAGUGUGAACAAAUAUGCAGAUUAAAAAUUUGAAUAUGAUAUUUUCAAUAAAAGGAAAGCCAUCAUAACAUAACAGAGACAUAAAUAAAAAGAAAAAUGGCUAUUUUAAUCAUUAGCAAAUAAACACAAUAUUAAGACAUUCACCUUUAAUAAAACUUAGCACCUGGCAUGCCCAGUUUUUGAAACAAUGACAUAAUAGUAACGAAUUAUAGGUAAUGGAAAAAAUAAAUAACAAUAACUGUGAAAGGUAACCAAAGGCAAGAAAAUAAAUACUAAUACUGAAAAGACUUUUGCAAUCAUCAAGCUAAAUGGUCAAAUAAUCUAGGACAUAAAACAGCUUAAGAGAGCAAUGUCUGUAAUAUGAUGGCAGAUUCAAAGUACAUGGAGUAGAGCUUGAGAAGGAGGUUAAAAAGAGAAAUAAAUAUAAUCAGAGGAAAAAUGUCACACAUGUACCAUCCCAUAGUUUUCCAAAUUUUUAAAUUAUAAAUGACUUCUCUUACUCUUGACAAAAAUUCUGUGAUAUAGCGAAGGAAGCAAGGAGGAGGUUGUUAUUCCCAUUUUACAAACAUGGAAACUGAGGAGCAGAGAUAUCAAAAGUCUUGCCUAAGGUCAAAGAAAAGAGAAAAAGUUAAUAAUCAGCUCUUGUACUUCGAGCUUCUCAUUUAUGUUUAUGCGCUUAGAGCUUAGCCUUUUGUAUAGUACUCAUGUCAAAAUCUAUGUCUUUACAAAAAGCUUUUGAUGGCCAAUAAAUAGGAACAUAUGGGAAAAAAAUAAGCCUCCAUGUAUUUUAAAGCAGCAAUGGAGUAAUUGCAAGAUAGUUUUACUUUCCAUUAAUAAUCAAUGAAAACUUUCCAAUUAAACCAGAAUUUGAAUAAUUCAAGAACUGUGUCACAUAAACUCUUCUGUUCUCUUUUGGUUCUGUUUUUUACAUUUUUGUCUGUUUUGUUUUUAGGAAUAAGUCCAGCAACUGUAAAUUUGCUUAUUAAAAAAAAAGGGAUUUUUCUCUUUAUAUAAAAAUCAGUCAGUCAAGGAUUCAAGUGAAGAUGAUUAUUGCUAUUCUGUUUUUGAAAUGUCCUUUAGUGUGUGACAUGGACGCAUCAGACCAUGAGGCAUACUUUGCCAAAAAGUGUGAUAAGAACACAUACAUCAGAGACAGCUAGAGGAGGGUGUGGCACCUGAUGGGAAACCAGUAGGAAUGGCAGCUAUGACCCUGUAACUAAGGGGACAGCAGAGGAGUCCUAACUCUCCACUCUAAUCUGACUGCCCAGGGCCAGUGGAAUCAGCAGAGGUCAGAGCUUAAAAAUCCCCUGGUCCAUUUAUAGACAGAAAAAUAAGAAGCCAAAGAAGGAGAGAUACUUACAGGUUAUCAGGAAGCAUAGCUGUCUUCCGUGAUUUCCACUCUCAUUUUCCCCCUUGUAUUUAGAGGAAUAACAGGAUUUUUCUGGUGAGAGUAGCAAGCAUUGGGAGUGUAUUACAUCACUGCCAUGGCUUCUGGGAUCUUUGCCCCCCUUUUCCAUCUCCCCCAGGGGCAAGUGGGAUUGAUCUUUAGCCCCCUAUGCAAUGCCUUGGAAGAAAGCUCGGCCAUACAUUGCCACCAUCCUAUGCUUGGUUAUCUAGGGCUUAUCUUGCAGUGGGAGGGAAAAUGCAAUGUUCUAGGUUCUGGAGUUCUGUUUCUGCACUUUAUACCCGUACAAUCUGAGACCAGUCCCUUAACUUUACAAGGCCUCAGUGUUUUCAUCCCUUACAUGGGGUUUAACAGGUGCUACCAUGACACCUUCACACAUUUUUAUGAGGAUUAAAAAAGAUGGAUGGUAUUAACAAUUGUAAACACUGCAGGACAGCAUAGGUAUUAACACCAUCUGUUUCCAAGAGGAGUAUAGAAUAGGGGUUAGAAGCUAUGGAUUUACUUAAAGUUUGUUCAAAAGCUGCUUUGGCCACUCAGAAGCUGUUUAAAUUCAGGUGUGUUGUGUACCUUUGCCAAAAUCUCAGUCUCUUCAUUCUGAAGUGGGAAUUGUAAUAGUUCCUACCUCCCCUCAAUGGAUGACUUUGAGUGUUAAAUUAGGUAAUGCCACAGUGGAUAACACAUAGUAAGUAAUCAGGAUGUGUUUCUAUUCCUGGGACACCAUAGCUACAAACUCUGGCUACUGUGAUUCCCAAAAUCUGCAAGAGUAAGCCUUUCUGGAAAUCCACACUAGAAUUCCUUAUACCGCAUGGGUGUUCUUUUGAGCUAAUCCUUAACUAUCCUUGGGAAUAUCACUAUUCCCGAUUUUUAAAAUACAGUUAUGUUUAUAGCAGUCAGUAGAAGUAAAAAGAAUUCUGUAGAAAUAAUUCAGCCAGUGGAAGUAAGAGAAUUUUGACAAAGUCAAAAGAAUUUUUCUGUACCAUGUUUUCUUACUUCUGUAUUCUAAAUUUUUCUUGGAUGAUAGUGAGCUCUGGCAGGGAUGGGAAGGACAGUGGGCUUGGGAGUUGAUGAGAAAAGGGAAUGAAAGCGAUUGAGGAGAUGACCAGACUGAGAAUUUCAUCCUAGGUCUGCUCCAAAGACACAGUGUGACCUAUCACCUCAGGUGUCUUUUCUGAGAAAAAAGAAAAGUUUCCCACUAAGGGAAGGAGGAGGGUAGGAUCAGAGCUCCUCAAUGUGGCAAAACAGUCAUAGCAAAGCACUGACACGGUUUCUGGUACAGAAUUUGUACUAAAUAAUUAUUCUUCCCCACUCUUUCUCCUUUCUAAGGAAUUCCUAGCGCUAACAUUCUGUAAUUUUGGAAUUGUGUCUUUUGGCAAAGGGAGACAGACCCCUCUGUCAUAGUUAUGUUGAAGUGUUUAACAUAUGGAAUCCUUUGGAAACCAAUGUUUAUUAAAGGAGGAUGGAUGGUACUGAGCCAAGCCCUGCAGACCACACAGAGAACUGAACUUAGGAGCCUCACCUAAUUAAUUGCUCUAAUUGGCUUUACUAACCAGCCAGCUUCACUGCAGAGAUAUUAUCUGUGAGCUGAGAAAGGGAUCUUAAGUAUCCUCUCUAAUCAAGCUCCUGAUGUUAUAGGAGUGGAAAGUACAGAUGGGAGGGUCCGAGUGACUGUCCAAGGGUCAGAGAGAGGUAGAAGGGGUAGCACUAAAAAUUGGAUCUUUUGACUCCCAGUCAUUUUGUCACCAGUGCCCCAAAAUAAUGUCAAGGCAUAGAGAAUGCAUCUUUCUUCAUGUUAAACUGAACCUCCUUCCACCAAAUUUUCCAAAUCUCCUCUAGACAUUCAAGUUCAAUAACUGAAUGGACAAGGGUAUGCACUCCUUAAAUGAAAGGCACUGCAGAGGCUGUUUAAAAUGGCCUGGAGGCUGAGCCUGCUGACCUUGCACUGGGUCAAUCUUGGGUCAGACACCAUUCACUAAAUGGAAUCUCAAUGCACAGAUUUCAGGGUUUUAUUCUGUGGGUUUAGCUGGUAUAUUGUCCCAGCUGUUGGAAGUACAGGCCAUAACAUAAGUCUCUUGCCUCUGUUGCCCCUGUGGAGAGACUUGUGCUUGGCAAUUUCAGGAAAGUCUGUUGGCUGGGGUGAUGGGUUUAUGGAGAAUCCUGAGGAAGCAAGCAGUAUUAUUCAAGUAGAGCAGAAGUUCUCAAUCUUGAGCAUUGGAAUCACUUGGAAGGUUGGUUAAAACACAGAAUAGGGGCCCUGUCCCCACCUUUCAUGAU